CGUAGGUGGCAAGCGUUGUCCGGAUUUAUUGGGUUUAAAGGGUGCGUAGGCGGCUUUGUAAGUCAGUGGUGAAAUACUCCAGCUCAACUGGAGAGGUGCCAUUGAUACUGCAGAGCUAGAGUACUGAUGAGGUAGGCGGAAUGGACGGUGUAGCGGUGAAAUGCUUAGAUAUCGUCCAGAACACCGAUAGCGAAGGCAGCUUACUAAAGAGUAACUGACGCUGAGGCACGAAAGUGUGGGGAUCAAACAGGAUUAGAUACCCUGGUAGUCCACACUGUAAACGUUGAUCACUAGAUGUUGGCGAUACACUGCCAGCGUUCCAGCAAAAGCGAUAAGUGAUCCACCUGGGGAGUACGCCCGCAAGGGUAG
rnacentral:rRNA from 1 species